GAUGAACGCUGGCGGCGUGCCUAAUACAUGCGAGUCGAGCGAACAGACGAGGAGCUUGCUCCCCUGACGUUAGCGGCAGACGGGUGAGUAACACGUGGAUAACCUACCUAUAAGACUGGGAUAACUUCGGGAAACCGGAGCUAAUACCGGAUAAUAUAUUGAACCGCAUGGUUCAAUAGUGAAAGACGGUUUUGCUGUCACUUAUAGAUGGAUCCGCGCCGCAUUAGCUAGUUGGUAAGGUAACGGCUUACCAAGGCAACGAUGCGUAGCCGACCUGAGAGGGUGAUAGGCAACACUGGAACUGAGACACGGUCCAGAAUCCUCCGGGAGGCAGCAGUAGGGAAUCUUCCGCAAUGGGCGAAAGCCUGACGGAGCAACGCCGCGUGAGUGAUGAAGGUCUUCGGAUCGUAAAACUCUGUUAUUAGGGAAGAACAAAUGUGUAAGUAACUAUGCACGUCUUGACGGUACCUAAUCAGAAAGCCACGGCUAACUACGUG
rnacentral:rRNA from 1 species